AAAGAUUAUCGAUAUAAAAAACCAUAAAAACUUUAUAAUUUUUGGAACGGAAUAAAUAUGGUUUUUUUACGCUGGGUUCCAGGCCAAAAUUGUAGAAAAUAUUGGAAAAACACUAAUAUUAUAACAAAACCAACUUUUUUAUAUUUAUAAAAUUAUUGAUAAAAAUAUAAAUUUGCCUGAUGUUUUUAUACCCUGGGGGUAAAUAAUAAUAUAUUAAUUUUUGGGUUGAGACAAAUUUGGUAUUAAAAUUAACUUUUUUUAUAUUUGUUUGUUUUAUUUCUAUAUUUCGUUCCGCAAUUAUUAUUAACACCGUGCGAAAUAAUUUAACGGCGAAAAUUGUCGUAUAUAUAUUUCCAAUUGUUAUUUUUUAUAAAUUAUUUUUAACGCAAAUUCGUAUGUUGCAUUCAAUUACAUACCGUCCUGGUUAAAUUUAUAUAUAAAACCUAUUUUUAUAAUAUAAAUUUAAUUGUUUCCGGGCAUUUUGUAAAUAGAAUCUUUCUGUAAGAAUUCUUAACGUUGAAACUACGUAGUUUUUCGUUUAUCACGUAUUUAAAAUCGUUUUUUAAUAGAUAUUUAAAUAUAAUUAUAUAAUAUUUAAAUAUAAAUAGAAGAUUGUUCGAAUAUUUAAAACCUUCCGCGUUAUAUAUAUUAAAACCUGUUCUUUUAUUUUUUAAAUUUUAUUAAUUAAUUUUUAAAAGAAGUAGUAAUAAUCCCUAAACUAUUAUAUAUUAUAAUUUAUAUAUCGUCGGAUCUCGGGUUUUAAUUUAUAAGGUUCGCAAAAUUUUACCAAGUUCGUUCCGCAAUCGUUUUAUCUAUAUACGCGAAUAUUGCAAAUAUACCCUAUAUUUUAUCGUUAUAUUGAUUUCUUUUAUUAACGGACCCUAUUAUUUAUUUGCGGAUUUUACCAAUUUACCGGGGCGUUUUAAUGCGGUUUGCAAUGGGUUUUUUAUAUUUAUUUAAAUCUUUAGUGGAUGGUUUUCUUAUAGCAAUGCACAUAGUUUUUUAUUUGUUAAACGGUAUAAUAAAUAAUAUUACGGUGUUAAUUUCCAAAAUUAUUUUCGGUUAAAAUUCCUUUUUCCUGAUUUUGAAAAAAGUUUAAAUUUUAUUUUUGGGGUUUUAAAACCAGUAUUUAUUUUUCGACUUUUUCCUAACAUCCGUUCCGCAAUUAUAAAAACAAUUGUAUAUUCUUUUUUCGACGGGUAAUCCGAUAAAAUCCCCAACCUUCUAAAUAUAUUUAGUUUUUUUAUCCACUUUAUCAACGGUAAAUUGGAUUAUUUCGGAAGCAAAACUGUUUUUCAGUUUAUAAAACUAAAAAAUAGUAAUUUAUUAAACGUUACGUCGCGAAUUGUAAUCACGGGAUAAAAGAUUGGGAUCCGAAUUCGGUAAAUAUAGUUUAAAAUAUACUUUACAAAAUAACCAAUAUAAAUUUUUACGUUAAUCUUAUAAUAUUUGCGGUUUGUUUUUUAUAAUUGUUUUUCAUAUGUUAUAUAAAUUUUAUAUCUAUAUAUAAUUAUACCAUGAUAUACAAAUUUAUAUUUAUUUAUAUUUUUUUUGUUCGGCGUUUGUAUUUUAAUUUGCAAAUAAUUAUGAAUGGUUAGGAAAUACGUAAUUAUCUAUUUAUUAAAAAUUUGGAUGGGUAAUUUAAAUGUAAAUUUUGCGCGAAAUAGCUUAUUAUAUAAUUAAACGGCCGUUUUGGCCGUUGUUAAUUUUAAAUUAAUAGGAAAAUAUAUACCGAAUAGUACUACCAGGGUUUUAAUUUAUAUUUCCUAAUUUGUUCGUUUAAGUUUCCCGUUUGGUUUAUAUAUAUUUGCAAAAUCAAGUAUUAAUAUAAUUCUUUUUCCUUUUAACCAAUUUUUGUAUUUCUCUAGGUUUUGGCAUUCGUUUAAUAUUACCUGAUUUAUAUCGCUCCGUAUUUUGCAAAUUAUAUAACUAUAUUAUUUCCGAAUUUAUUUUACCAAAUCUUGAAUAAUAUUAAAAAGUUUAGAACCUAAACAGAAUUAUAAUAAAAUAAUAUAAAUUAAUCCGCAAAAAAUCAGUUUAAUUAUUAAUAGGUAUUUUGCUCCGUUAUAUUCCUCGGGGUAAUAUAUAUAGCUUUAACAUAUUUCCCAAAAUAAUCGAUAGGGGGGAUUUUCUGGGAUUCGCCGCCAAAUUAUUCAUUUUGCGUAUAUUUGCGCGCAAUUUUUGCAAAUUAUACAAAUAUCGCCUAUGAUUUUUAUUUUUUUCGCGUUUUGCAUUAACUGUUCCAACCUUUAUUAUCCCAAAUAAUUAAUGCGUAGAUUUUAAAUUCGCGUUAUUUUUAUUUCUGGUUUAAGAAUUUAUAAUAUUAAUGAAAAACCUUUUUUUACCGUUUUAUCAUAUUAUAUAUAACCGUUAUAAUAAUAAUUUGUAUCCGAAAAAAAUUAAAUUUGGAAAAAUAAAAAAACUGUGCGGUAUUGGUUUAUAUUCGAAAAAUAGUAAAUUCUUUUAUUUUUCCAAUUAUAAUAGUAAGGUACUCGCGUAAAUUGGGCCGUAUUUUUAAAAGAAACCUAAUUACAAAACUAUAAUUUAUAUUUAUGAAUAAAUGUUUGGGAUUUUAUAUUAACGUGCAAUUUUGGAAUUAAUAUAAUUCUUUCCAAAAUUAAGUCCCUUUUAUUAAAAAACCCAUUAAAAGUUUUGCGGUUAUAUUCUGGGAUUUGCAACGUAAAUGCACCCGUUGCGAUUAAAAUAUUAAUAUUUGCUGGAUAGAAUGUUUUUUCGUCGAUUAAUUAUAUUAAAUUAAUAACGUAUAUCGCGUUUCCGCUGUCGAUAAUAAUAUUAUUGGCGAAAAGGUGGGUGUUUUAUUUGAUUGGGAAUAUUCCAAUUAUUAUUACCGGUAUUUUAAGUUUAUUAUAUAAUAAAAUUGCGUAAUUUAUAAAUUUGUUCGGAAUUUGUUCCUAAAUCUUUUAUAUCCCCGAAUUUCUUUUUCCAAAUUAAAAAUCCCCGUUGGAAUCUUUUGUAACAAAAGUUUUCCGUACCAAAUUUUGGCGAAAUUAUUUAUAAUUUUUAAAUUUUAGUAGUUUUUGCAACAUUAUGUCUUUUUUGUCGGAAUUUAAAUUAAGUCUUUUCUUCUUUUUUGUAUUUGUUAAAACCCAGUGGAAUUUAUCGCAGUUUUCUAAUUCCCAAUAAUAUCUCUUAUUACUAGUUUUUUUAUACAAGUAUUAAUAUUUUUAUAUUAUUUUUUGGGUUAAAUUAUUUUCGUUUGGAUCUCUUUGCAAAUUUUGUACUCCUAUUAUUUUAAAUACCGGAACUGGACGUGGGUUUAAUUAAUUAAUUCUUUGUAAUUAUAUGUGGGUUUCGAAAGUUUUUAAAUAUUUUUCCACGCCCAUAAAUGGUUUUCUUAUAAUUAUAAAUUUA
rnacentral:sRNA from 1 species